CACGAAUUCGUGUGAGCUAACUUAUUUAUUAAGUAUGUGACAUAAUAUAUAUUGAAAUUAAGUUAGGGGUGAUAGGCCUUUCAAAAACGAGGGUAUCUUGAAAUAAACGAAAAAAAUUUAGUUUUAAGAUAAUUACAAAGUUAUAAGAUUUUGUAAAGAAUUUAAUUUCUUAGAUUGUUAAUUAUUGGUAUAAAAACCCAUAAAAUAAUAUAUUAAUAUUAAGUUAGUGAGAUUAUUUGUUUAGUUUAUGAUUACAUAACUAUUAUAUAAAACAUUAUGUUAUUAUUAGUAUUUAUCAGGUAUUAAUAGUGAACUCGGCAACAAAGCUUUCAACUGUUUAUCAAAAACAUAGCUAUAUGUUUCAUAUAUGGUGUGUUCUGCUCAAUGACAAGUUAAAUAGCCGCAGUACCCUGACUGUGCAAAGGUAGCGUAAUCAUUUGUCUUUUAAUUGAAGUCGUGUAUGAAUGAAUACAUGGGGGCUUACUUUACCAUUAAUAUAGUUUGAACUUAUUUAAGAGGUGAAAAAACCUCUAUAUAUAAAUUAGACGAGAAGACCCUUGAAAUUUGUAAAGUAGUUUUGUUGGGGCAACAUAGUAGAAAAACCUACUGAAUGUACAUGUAAUUCUUUUGAUUGAAUAAAUUACUCUAGGGAUAACAGCAUAAUUUUUAUUAAGUUUGUGACCUCGAUGUUGGAUUAGGGAACUAAAACUUAAAA
rnacentral:rRNA from 1 species